rnacentral:misc_RNA from 1 species
GCCGAAGUAGAAUUGACUCCUUGAGUAAGGUUUUCAGAUUGUUGAUCAACAUCGGUGGAACAUUGUGAUUCAGUUAAUCUUCUUUGGUCAUUCUUCUCAUUUGACUUCUCCAAUGAUUUGCUAUUAUUUAUUUCUUCUUCAAUAUGAUGAUCUAUACCACUCUGCGAUGUACUACCACUUGUUCCCUCUUCAGAACCUUUAAGUUUCUCCUUCAACAAUUCCUUUGCCAUCUGAAUCCACAUUCCAUAGGCCUCUCGGCAUUCUUCAAGGGUAGACUGCACUAUUUUCCCUUUCCAAACUGUUCUUUUUGAAAAUGCCACAUUCACAUAUACCCUCAAGACGCAGCAAUUAUUUGAUUCAUCAACAUCUUUCUUCACCUCCCAGUGUGCCUCAACACGGAAAUAAUCUGAAUAUGGAACCUCACUGACUUCUUGUGUUACCUCGAUGACCAAAUGACUGUCUCGAUAAACUCGAAAUUUCUGAAUCUCCA